rnacentral:rRNA from 1 species
UAUCUCUGUAGAGUCUGCAUAUCAAUAAGCGGAGGAAAAGAAACUAACAAGGAUUCCCUUAGUAACGGCGAGUGAAGCGGGAAGAGCUCAAAUUUGAAAUCUUCAAGGUUUCUACCUUGACGAAUUGUAGUUUAAAGAAGUGUUUUCUGUUAGAUGAGUAGCAAAAGUUCCUUGGAAUGGGACAUCCGUAGAGGGUGAGAAUCCCGUAUUUGGUUAUUCAUUCUAGCUUUGUGAUACACUUUCAAAGAGUCGGAUUGUUUGGGAAUGCAGUCCAAAAUGGGUGGUAAAUUUCAUCUAAAGCUAAAUAUUGGCGAGAGACCGAUAGCGAACAAGUACCGUGAGGGAAAGAUGAAAAGAACUUUGAAAAGAGAGUUAAACAGUACGUGAAAUUGUCAAAAGGGAAGCGUUUGACACCAGUGUUGUUUUUCCGAAAAUCAAUUACGAAUGGCUUGAUUUUGUGUUGUAUUGACCUUAUCAGCUUUCUUCACUUUUUUCGAGUCUUUCUUAAUGCACUUUUCGGUUAACAGGUCAACAUCAAUUUCUUUUGUUGUAAAAGAGUAUUCGGAAGGUGGCUUUCUUUUCGGAGAAAGUGUUUAUAGCCCUAUACUUCUACAAUCGGAGAGAUUGAGGUCUGCAGCGUAGAUCCUUCGGGGUUAGAUACACUUGUGCUAAGUUGUAGCUUUUCAUAGACAACUUGUUGACUAUGUUUAGUCAUGCGGCUUACUCGCUUGUGCUAUUUUACCUACGCUUAGGAUGUUGACUGAUAUGUAGUCGU